UACGGAGGGGGCUAGCGUUGUUCGGAAUUACUGGGCGUAAAGCGCGCGUAGGCGGACCUGCAAGUCGGGGGUGAAAGCCCGAGGCUCAACCUCGGAACUGCCUUCGAUACUGCGGGUCUCGAGUCCGGGAGAGGUGAGUGGAAUUCCUAGUGUAGAGGUGAAAUUCGUAGAUAUUAGGAAGAACACCAGUGGCGAAGGCGACUCUUUGGCCUGUAACUGACGCUGAGGCGCGAAAGCGUGGGGAGCAAACAGG
rnacentral:rRNA from 1 species